CUCUCCUGUUAAAAUAUGGUGAUAUUUUAAAUUAAAAUUUUUCCUUACAAUUUCAUCCAUGCUUGUAUUUUCUCAUCGUAUAUCACAUCAUCGAUUUAUAGUUAAAAAACUAUCUUGGACUUUCCCUCCCGUCCUCUUGCAAACACUGGGUGUAGUUUUCCCUCUCGUUCCAUUUGCAUAGUCUCAUAUACUUGCAAUUUUGUUCAGUUGUUCCUUCACAACUCACAUCCCUUUGCCCACUUUCAUAGAUCUCCGAUUGUUUGAGAUUCAGGGGAAAUUUGUAAUCCAGUGUGUAGUCCAAUCAAGAUACUCAACAUGUAUGGGAGAAAAGCUUGCCAACUUGUGAAAGAAUUUGCAAGUGGAGAAAAGGGCCAGCUCACACCAUUUAAUAAUGACUUGUUUGAUCAAGUAGUUGCAGAAUGCAGCCAACACAACGGUGAGCUCCAGUCCAUGAUAAGGAAGAUGCAGGAAGAAGGCUUGGAUGUCCAAACUGCUAGAAAUGCUGACCACUACGGAGCCCUCAUCCACCUAUUUUCUAUAGUCCGAAAUAAACAUUGUCUAACAGCCUAUGUGUAUAACCGAGCAGAAACUAUACGGAACUUGUUAUGGAAAAUAGGGCCCGUGAUCCCUAAAGAAAUUGAAGAGAAGCUUGAUCAUUGGGAGGAAGAGUAUUUCAAGAAGCAUUCUUCAGCAUUAAAAUCUUAUAUGUCAAAAGUGCUGGUUGAUCUGACUGUGGAUAUGGUACCACCAAAAGAUCCAUACAUCCAAGUAAGGGUCCUUGAAGACAUAAUAGAAGGCAUAGUACUUAGUGAUGAUAAGAAUCCCAAUUUUGCCCGGCAUUCAAUGCAUUUUCUGAAACGAACUGAUGCUGAGAAAUAUAUCUCGCGGGGCUUAAUGGAGGAGCUCACUGGUUGACCUUCUAGUCCUUUACCUGCAAGUCUGGAACAAAAUGUAGAUGAAGAAUUGAAGAUGAGUAUUACAGAUUUACCUUCAUCACUUUUCGCCUAGUACUUAAUGGACACGUUAUUGAACAGUGUUGACAUUUUGUUGUUGGUUUUCUUGUUGGACCACCACAAGAUAAAUUGAACGGGCUGUUUUUUGUUAUCAAUUAAUUAUACACAUGCAUAUUCGCAGUGUUUGCAAUGGAUUUGGAUUAGCAGGAAAGGCACAACGACAGCCAGAACACCCACUGAAUUUCGACUGUGCUUCUCUGAUUCACAACUUACAUUUCAACUCUUAUCAUUCACGGUGAAUGCAACAAAGGGCAUCUUUAUUUCCUGGUUUGUUACACUUACUCUUUUAUUCAUUCACUCAUUCUUAUUCCCAUUUCAACCUGCAAUUUGCAAACUUUGCUUCUAUCAUUUUGAACGAAUAAAUGUGUACUGUUAUGUUGAAUACUGAAUUUGCAGUGACUUUACCUAAUUACCUAUGGCUCAAUAUAUCAUUAAUAUGAAUGCUUCACUGUCUGCAUCUGACAAAUUCAUAAUACAUAUCUUGGAUAGUACUCACAUGUUUGUUCAACCCCAUGUCGAGCUAAUGAUUCGAAGUCAAAUUUCAAAGUUUAGAGAGGACAAUACAUAUGUCAAGCCGUCUUGAUUCAAUCUGUGGACAAUAUGUUUCUUGUAUUUCAAUUUCGUCUUAGUUCAUAAUUAUGUAACCUUUCUAUACGUCUGAAAACACAUUUCCAUUAAUGUUGUGAGUGAUUUUCCAUUUGAUAAGUUGUAUAGACACAUAAUACAGCUAUCUUGAUUAAAUUGAUGAAGAACUGGUGUAUUAUAAACAUGGCCAAGUUCCUAAAUAGGAGUAAGCAUUAUAUUUCGCGAA